rnacentral:misc_RNA from 1 species
ACCUACUGUUUAAUUUUGAGGGUUCGUUUUUACGAAUACUCAAAAUUAGCACUUUUAGCAACAGAAUAAACUGAACGCAUGUGAAGUUUGUUUGUUGGCGCUGUGCGUUAGCACUUUAAGUAACGGAAUAAUCUGAGUGAAUACGAAGGUUGUUCGUUGACGUGGUGCGUUAGCACUUUAAGCAACGGGAUUUAUCCGUUGGCGACGUGCUUUAGCACUUUGAAAACUGCAUAUAUAUUUAGUGAUAUGACAUCUAAUUUGUAAUAUAUAAAGCUGAUAACUUUUUAAAAUUAUCGAAGUUGAUAGCUUCUAAUCUAUCAAACCUUUUUAACUGGUCAA